AUGUGUUAUACGGUAGCCUCCGGCGGUUGCUGCGUGAUUGGCCGGUUGUUUGCGGCUAUGAUGUUGUGUCGAUUGCAGACCUGGAACAAAAUCAGAAGGGGAUGCAUGCAAUUUGAAUGGAUCCGGGUUACUUCCGACGGCUGCGCUGCUUGCCGACGCGAAUCGGUCUUGCGGCGCAGUGGAUGCGGCAUAACGAUUCGAUGUUGA